CCAUCAUUUAAUUACGAGCUCCUCUCCUGAUGGACAUUUUUUUCCCUUUCUCCCAAGAAUGGAGAUUUGCUGCUUCUAUUAAAGAAUCCCAAACCCUGUGAAAGGUAAAUUUUUAACCCAGGUGUUAUGAAACAAUCCUUUCACAACAAAUAAACAUAGCUCUCACCUGCGCCUUUAGCAUGCACGACUCUCUCAGGAAUUCUUUCCCGGUCAAAGUGAGCCAUUUCAUCAGUGAAAACCACAUCUUGAA